GACGAACGCUGGCGGCGUGCUUAACACAUGCAAGUCGAACGGAAAGGCCCUGCUUUUGUGGGGUGCUCGAGUGGCGAACGGGUGAGUGACACGUGAGUAACCUGCCCUUGACUUUGGGAUAACUUCAGGAAACUGGGGCUAAUACCGGAUAGGAGCUCCUGCUGCAUGGUGGGGGUUGGAAAGUUUCGGCGGUUGGGGAUGGACUCGCGGCUUAUCAGCUUGUUGGUGGGGUAGUGGCUUACCAAGGCUUUGACGGGUAGCCGGCCUGAGAGGGUGACCGGCCACAUUGGGACUGAGAUACGGCCCAGACUCCUACGGGAGGCAGCAGUGGGGAAUAUUGCACAAUAGGCGGAAGCCUGAUGCAGCAACGCCGCGUGCGGGAUGACGGCCUUCGGGUUGUAAACCGCUUUCGCCUGUGACGAAGCGUGAGUGACGGUAAUGGGUAAAGAAGCACCGGCUAACUACGUG
rnacentral:rRNA from 1 species